UGGGGAAUAUUGCACAAUGGGCGAAAGCCUGAUGCAGCAACGCCGCGUGAGUGAUGAAGGCCUUCGGGUUGUAAAGCUCUGUCUUUUGGGACGAUAAUGACGGUACCAAAGGAGGAAGCCACGGCUAACUACGUGCCAGCAGCCGCGGUAAUACGCAGGUGGCAAGCGUUGUCCGGAUUUACUGGGCGUAAAGGAUGCGUAGGCGGAUUUUUUAAGUGAGAUGUGAAAUACCCGGGCUUAACUUGGGUGCUGCAUUUCAAACUGGGAAUCUAGAGUGCGGGAGAGGAGAAUGGAAUUCCUAGUGUAGCGGUGAAAGUGCGUAGAGAUUAGGAAGAACACCAGUGGCGAAGGCGAUUCUCUGGACCGUAACUGACGCUGAGGCAUGAAAGCGUGGGUAGCAAACAAGAUUAGAUACCCUGGUAGUCCACG
rnacentral:rRNA from 1 species